UGUUUUUUCCACUUUAAUUUUGAGUGUGACUCCAAAUCCAGACCUCCACGGGUUGAAAAUUUUGAUUUCCAUUUUUAAAUUUUUGUGUGAUUUUGUUGUCAGCACAUUCAACUAUGUAAAGAACAAAGUAUAUCAGAAGAAUAUUUAAUUCAUUCAGAUCUAUGAUGUUAUUUUUGCGUUCCCUUUAUUUUUUGAGCAGUGUAUAUGAGCAACUAAAAUGCCC